rnacentral:rRNA from 1 species
CGGCGGAACACGUGAAAUUCCGUCGGAAUCCGGGAGGACCAUCUCCCAAGGCUAAAUACUCCCUAGUGACCGAUAGUGAACCAGUACCGUGAGGGAAAGGUGAAAAGCACCCCGGAAGGGGAGUGAAACAGUUCCUGAAACCGUGUGCCUACAAGUAGUUAGAGCCCGUUAAUGGGUGAUAGCGUGCCUUUUGUAGAAUGAACCGGCGAGUUACGAUUUGUUGCAAGGUUAAGCGGAAAAAGCGGAGCCGUAGCGAAAGCGAGUCUGAAUAGGGCGCAUAAGUAACAGGUCGUAGACCCGAAACCAGGUGAUCUACCCAUGUCCAGGAUGAAGGUAAGGUAAUACUUACUGGAGGUCCGAACCCACGCACGUUGAAAAGUGCGGGGAUGAGGUGUGGGUAGCGGAGAAAUUCCAAUCGAACUUGGAGAUAGCUGGUUCUCUCCGAAAUAGCUUUAGGGCUAGCCUCGAGGUAAAGAGUCAUGGAGGUAGAGCACUGUUUGGACUAGGGGCCCUUCUCGGGUUACCGAAUUCAGAUAAACUCCGAAUGCCAUGUACUUAUACUCGGGAGUCAGACUGCGAGUGAUAAGAUCCGUAGUCGAAAGGGAAACAGCCCAGACCACCAGUUAAGGUCCCCAAAUAUAUGUUAAGUGGAAAAGGAUGUGGGGUUGCUUAGACAACCAGGAUGUUGGCUUAGAAGCAGCCACCAUUGAAAGAGUGCGUAAUAGCUCACUGGUCGAGUGACCCCGCGCCGAAAAUGUACCGGGGCUAAACAUAUUACCGAAACUGUGGAUGAACCUCUUUAGAGGUUCGUGGUAGGAGAGCGUUCUAAGGGCGGUGAAGUCAGACCGGAAGGACUGGUGGAGCGCUUAGAAGUGAGAAUGCCGGUAUGAGUAGCGAAAGAAGGGUGAGAAUCCCUUCCACCGAAUAUCUAAGGUUUCCUGAGGAAGGCUCGUCCGCUCAGGGUUAGUCGGGACCUAAGCCGAGGCCGAUAGGCGUAGGCGAUGGACAACAGGUAGAGAUUCCUGUACCAGUGCUAAUUGUUUAACCGAUGGGGUGACACAGAAGGAUAGGGAAUCGCACGAAUGGAAAUGUGCGUCCAAGCAGUGAGUGUGAGAAGUAGGCAAAUCCGCUUCUCGCGAAGCAUGAGCUGUGAUGGGGAAGGAAAUUAAGUACGGAAGUUCCUGAUUUCACGCUGUCAAGAAAAGCCUCUAGGAAGAGUAGUACUGCCCGUACCGCAAACCGACACAGGUAGAUGAGGAGAGAAUCCUAAGGUGAGCGAGAGAACUCUCGUUAAGGAACUCGGCAAAAUGACCCCGUAACUUCGGGAGAAGGGGUGCUCUAUUAGGGUGCAAGCCCGAGAGAGCCGCAGUGAAUAGGCCCAGGCGACUGUUUAGCAAAAACACAGGUCUCUGCAAAACCGUAAGGUGACGUAUAGGGGCUGACGCCUGCCCGGUGCUGGAAGGUUAAGAGGAGUGCUUAGCUUCGGCGAAGGUACGAAUUGAAGCCCCAGUAAACGGCGGCCGUAACUAUAACGGUCCUAAGGUAGCGAAAUUCCUUGUCGGGUAAGUUCCGACCCGCACGAAAGGCGCAACGAUCUGGGCACUGUCUCAACGAGAGACUCGGUGAAAUUAUAGUACCUGUGAAGAUGCAGGUUACCCGCGACAGGACGGAAAGACCCCGUGGAGCUUUACUGCAACCUGAUAUGGAAUGUUUGUACCGCUUGUACAGGA